rnacentral:lncRNA from 1 species
AGUGUUGAUGAGUCGAGGGGUGAGGGAACUGAGAUUGGAAGAAGUAUUCCCUCUUCUUGCUGCAGCUCCCCACGGAUGUCUGAGGGACCUGCCAAAGAGGUAUUUUAUAGCACCAAUUUCAUUUUCUCCAGAACCUCUUCUAUGACAGUAUUCUUAGGUAGGUGUAAGCUGAGACUUGCUUAACAAGUUAUCUAAAUUGGCGGAUGAGUAAUCGUAGAAAUUAGUGGCAAAGGCCAACAAUUUAACUGUCUGGACAAUAUAAUAAGAUUUGAACGAUUUGUUCAGUUUAGUUUAUCUUCUUGGAUUUCUCGUUGUUUUCUUUCCUUCAGCUGAAGGAGGACAAUUCAGUGCAUGGAAGUGACGAAGAGGUUGAAGAAGAGGCUGAUGUAGGCAGUGAUGAAGAACUAAGUGAUGACGGUGACAAACGACUGUAUGAAGAGGUAUAACAAAUUGGUUUGUUUGAAAUUCUAGACAAUAACUUGAACUUUAUCUACUGAGGUCAUAUAUAUAUUAUGAGCAUUGCUAUAUUUAGGUCAUGGUAAAGGUCCACACAUACAUGUGCGUGUGUGUACAGAACUUCUGAUCUUAAAUGAGGUUAUAUCUGAUCAAGGCUAAUAAAUUUGGGGAACUUUGUAUGUUUAAACUGAUAUAAUCCUGGUUAGAUCAGAUGGGAGGUUGAAACUCAAAACUUUUUGCAAGAAUUAAUUGUUUAAUCUUUUUACUAUUGUGCAGAUAGGGUCGGUGGAUGAGGAGUCUACGAAAACGGAUGAAGAGUAUGAUGACUUAGCAAUGCAGGACGUGCAGGGAAAUGGAUACUGGUUGGAGAAUGAUGAUCGGGGAGCUAAUCACCCCAUUUCUGAGGAUCAAUCAGCCGAUAAAGAAGGGGAUAAGUAUCGCCAGAACCUGGAUCUCUUCCUUAGAACUAGAUCAGAGUCAUUUUCUGAACCAUUCUGCUCAUACUCUUCUGUGUUUAUUGAGAAGAAUGAGCUUUCAAUGCCGUGCUCUGGCAAUAUGAAAAUUAGAAAACGCCGCUCCCUUAGCAUUCCCGCCUUGGGAAGGCACGGGUCAUUAGUCGGGGGUCCCAUACUUUCGGGAGCCCCUCAGUGCUAACGCCUUAGUUUUUAUGGACCUUAGUGCUCUCAUCACCCUGUCAUUUUCUCCCUUUCUCUUUGUAGCCCGCCCCUUUAGCGUAUUUAGUGAACUUAAGUCCCCCGUAUCUGUACAGUAAUCUAUUUAGGAAGUUGCAACGGAACGUAUUAUAGUGUACUCAUUAGCUAUGAAUCUAUGGUAGAAUGAGAACAUGAUUUUAUGAGUAGUAUGGGAUGCAUAGAAUGAGCUCAAGAUUUUUGAGUUGUAUGCUAAGCGCUAUCUAUGGGUUGAAUACCGACUUUGUUUUUCGUGAUUCUUUCUAGCAGGGAUCGAGUUGGUUGUUUGUUCAAUCUCUGUUCAAGAUGUAUUGCCCAACUAUUCACCAAGAUGCCGAGGCCAGAAAGGGGAGGAUCUGCGUCCGAGUGAAAAUGCGGAUACAGAGAUCCAGCUUACACAUGCAUUCUGCUUCGGUGGAAAAGCGUUUCCUUUGCGGUUUUCGAUGGCAGAUAAGAAAGAUAGUUUUGGUUUUAUUGCUUCACUGGCUCAUAAAUGAAAGGGAUUGUUUUUUUUGUUUAACCUUAUAAUUGGUGGUGGAGAAUGAUAUCGAACAUUUGGCUUUAUUAAUCACAAGACCUCCCCAUCUGUGAAACUCGAUCAGCUCUUGGUUGAUGGGCAAUGCAUUUUGCAGAGUUAUCCUCGACAGUUGAUUAUCUGAAACGUACAACAACAAUAACAAACACUCAUGCCACUAACUAGAGUCGGCUGUACGAAUCUUAGAAUGCUACUGUGUUUGGUUUUGCGUAAGCUUCAAGUACCCUAUGUUUCUUCUUAAAGUCUCUUUUCUUGGUUUUCUUUACCUUUUUUGUCUUGAGCCUGUCUCAUAAUCGCGUUUUUUAACCGGAGCAUUUGCAGGUCUUUGUUAUGCAUGUUCACUCCGAUUUUCUCUCAUCUUUUCUUUAAUCUUCUCAUUCCUUGUGUGCCACGUAUCCAACGAAGCAUUCUCAUUUUCACUACACUCAUUUUUUGUACAUGUUUAUACUUGACCGCCCAACGUUUUGUACCAUAAAAUACUGUUGCCCUUAUUGUUGUCCUAUAAAAUUUAGUUGCAUACGCACAACAUACUUGAUGCACUCUUCCACUUCAUUCAGCUUGUAUUCAAUGGUUGAGAUCUCUAUCCAAUUUUUUGUUCUUUUGCAAGAUAGAUCCAGGAUAACGAAAGCGUCACUCUUUGGUACUUCUUGAUCUCCAACCUCACCCUUAUCUCAUUUGGACCCCUAUUUCCUUUGAACUUGCACUAUGUAUACUGCCUUUGACCUACUUAGGCGAAAACACUUAGAUUGUAACACUUCCUGCCAAACGUUAAGCUUGGCAUUUACUCUCUCCUGUUUCAUUUAUCAACGCUCUAUCAUCUGCGAAAAGGAUACACCAAGGGAUAUCUACUUGAAUAUAUCCUAUUAGCUCAUCCAUUACUAAUGCAAAAAGUGAAGGACUUAAGUUGAGCCUUAGUGUAGCCCUAUAGUUAUUGAAAAACUUUCCGUUUGUCCUCAUGAGUUCUUACUGUAUUCUUGGCUCCAUCAUACAUAUCCUUUAUUUCUUGGAUAUGUGCUACUCAUACUCUUUUUUUCUUCUAAAAUCCUCUAGAGAAUUUUACUUUGAAUUAAUUAUCAGAAACGUAGAAUUUACGAAAUCUUUUUAACAGGCAAUUCGGUUGUUUACUUCCUCUCCUGUGUUAAAAGCUUAAGCGUGUUUGGGCAAUAAUAGUACUCGGAUGAGGCUCACAGCAACUCAUAUUGCAUUCCUCUGUCCGAAGUAGCAGGCUUGUGUUGUAGGUUGUAGAAUCCCGGGGUGGGAUCAUGAUAUCAAAUUUGUUUUAAUACAGUUGUGUAUUUUGAAGUCCAGCGUCAAGUCGGGUCUGGUCUUCGGCGUCGGGAUGGGGGGAGUACAGAGUUUAGUCACGCAAUGAGAGAGAUAUGAAGAUGGAGCAAAAAAUUGCCCCGGCCUGGAUAGCGGAGUUUGUCUCUGCUAACGAUGGUUACCAUGCCGCUCCUCAUUGGAGAAGGCAAGGCGAGGCAUAUUGUUGGGUUUCAAGUUGCAUCAACAAAACAGGAUACAAAAUUCGCCAAUGACUCCGAACCACUUCAUCUCAAUAGUAUAGGGAACUUUUAAAAUUACUUGUUUUGUUUUGCUUCUUAGUUUCGACUUGUGUGGAUGGCAAGUUGAAAUUAAAUUAUUAUGAUUGGCACAUUGUGUUACUUAACUCAAUUUCUCUACUUUUUAGUGUAAAUGUUCGUUGUAUUAAAAAAAAUUGUUAUAUUUUGGUUGUUUUGAGUUGUUUAUAGGGAAACAAAAUGCGAAAGAGGGAGAAUAUUAGUGGGCGGAGCUAGAAAUUAACUUCAAGGAGCACACUACUUGAAUUUUAGCUCGAAUCUCACUAAACCAUUCGUAACUUAACUAUUGUCACAUAAUUUCUUGGAACUCAACUUGUAUCUCACUCAGCCUAACGUCAUUUAUAGUUUACAAUUUAGCUCAAAUCCUAACCUUUCUUUAUGCACCAUCCCAUAUAUUUUUCAUUUUAGUUUUCUGACUCAGCCCAGCCCAACUUAGAAGGAAACAUUGUUCCAGCCUAGCCCAGUCCACAUUCAAAAGCCUAGCCCAGUUUUGUCACUGAUUAAUUCUCUCAUAUACGGUGGGUCAUACAUAAGCCUUACUUGGUUUAGCUUCUACCAUAUUUUUUAUCUUCUCACACACUCCUAUUUAAACAUGUCCGUUAUUUUCGUUUGAGUUAUUCAUCUCCUUAUAUACAAGAUUUGAACUUAAGACCUCUGACUCAACCGAAGUACUAAGUGACAAUCUGUAGUAUUUUCUUCGAAUUGAACAAAUAAAAGAUUGAACAAAUAAAAGAAAGCAAAAAACUGAGCUAACAACUCACUUGGAAUAGUUUAUAGAGAGGUCAAAACUAAUCCAAAAUUUGAAAGAAAUAAGUUUCGAGAGAUGGACAUAGUGAAGCAGAGUCGAAGCAAAAGAUGCAGACAUGUUUGGGAAGAAAUGAAAGACGGUAGAAAUGCAUACCUCAAAAGGAGCAAGCAAAGCACCAUACUUGUUCUGAGGGUGCUCAGUCUUCCUUGUGUUUUGUCCACAAAACUUGAGAAUCCGUGGUCAUUUCAUCCUCUGUGUGUGGUGGGCAUCACAUGUUUCAUCAGAGAAACAUGGAGUUCCACGCUACAUAAAAGAGACAUUCCUUGGAAUAUUCCAUCCACAUCUGUCAACUUGUCCUUCGUUUGGCUUAACUGUCACUACAAACCAAGCACAACACUAGGGGCGAAAAAUGAAUUGCAAACGACAUUUUACUGUAGUGGUGGAAAAUAAUUAUGUUUAUGCAUUAUGGUGCCGAUUCGAUUCUCACCAAUUACUU